UUCAACGGCCGCGGUAUCCUAACCGUGCGUAGGUAGCAUAAUCACUUGUUCUUUAAAUAAGGACUAGUAUCAACGGCAUCACGAGGACUGUACUGUCUCCUUUCCCCAAUCUAUGAAACUAAUCUCCCCGUGAAGAAGCGGGGAUAAAAAUAUAAGACGAGAUGACCCCAUGGAGCUUUAAAUUCAACAGGCACCCUUUUACAAACUAAUCCACAGAAUUUUGAUACCCCCUGCCUGUUAAUUUUUGGUUGGGGUGACCGCGGAGCAUAAUGAAACCUCCACAACGAACAAGACACUAACCUUAUCAAAGAGCCACAACUCUAUGAAUCAAAAAAUUGACGUAAAAUGACCCGACAUUCGAUUAAUGAAACAAGUUACCCUGGGGAUAACAGCGCAAUCUACUUUGAGAGCCCCUAUCGACAAGUAGGCUUACGACCUCGAUGUUGGAUCAGGAUAUCCCAGUGGUGCAGCCGCUACUAAAGGUUCGUUUGUUCAACGAUUAAAAUCCUACGUGAUC
rnacentral:rRNA from 1 species